rnacentral:lncRNA from 1 species
UGCAACAAGAGUAGAUCAAAUUCAGUCGAACUAAAGCUACUUCGGUCCAGACUGAAAAAAAAGAGGAGGCGACUUUUGUCAAUGGAGCCAUAUCAAGGCUAUAAGCCGACAUGAGACGAUCUAAAGGAAAUUCGAUCAGAUCAAGAUGAAUACCUCGAUUAGAGGUGAAGUCCGAACAAUCACUCAUUGUGGGGCUUCAACCGGUUCUUCGGUCAGGAUCAUGUCCGAUCGAAGCCAAGGUGGAGUGGAGAUCCAAAAAAAAUAUAUAUAUAUAUAAAAUGAGUUACUAGAAAAA